rnacentral:rRNA from 1 species
AGCGAACGCUGGCGGCAGGCCUAACACAUGCAAGUCGAACGAAGUCUUCGGACUUAGUGGCGGACGGGUGAGUAACACGUGGGAACGUGCCUUUAGGUUCGGAAUAACUCAGGGAAACUUGUGCUAAUACCGAAUGUGCCCUUCGGGGGAAAGAUUUAUCGCCUUUAGAGCGGCCCGCGUCUGAUUAGCUAGUUGGUGAGGUAAAGGUUCACCAAGGCGACGAUCAGUAACUGGUCUGAGAGGAUGAUCAGCCACAUUGGGACUGAGACACGGCCCAAACUCCUACGGGAGGCAGCGGUGGGGACUCUUGCGCAAUGGGCGAAAGCCUGACGCAGCCAUGCCGCGUGAAUGAUGAAGGUCCUAGGAUUGUAAAAUUCUUUCACCGGGGACGAUAAUGACGGUACCCGGAGAGGAAGCCCCGGCUAACUUCGUGCCAGCCGCCGCCGUAAUAC